GUGACAUCAUCACAGGUCCUUUACUUUCUCCCGCAGCACAGAGGAGGAUACGCUCCAUCCAGGUUCCUACAAUAUAGGAUUCUCUCACUGGAUAUAUUGUAUAUGACAUCAAUCUCCUGAUUGACCCGUCAAGGAUGGAUAGGGACAGGGACAAGAUGGCGGAGAGUAUAAUCAAUCUCACCCUAGAGAUCCUCUUCCGGCUUACUGGAGAGGACUACACAGUAGUGAAGAAGACCUCUAGUGAGCGC